rnacentral:rRNA from 1 species
UACGUAGGGUGCGAGCGUUGUCCGGAAUUAUUGGGCGUAAAGAGCUUGUAGGCGGUCUGUCGCGUCUGCUGUGAAAAUCCGGGGCUCAACCCCGGACUUGCAGUGGGUACGGGCAGACUAGAGUGUGGUAGGGGAGACUGGAAUUCCUGGUGUAGCGGUGAAAUGCGCAGAUAUCAGGAGGAACACCGAUGGCGAAGGCAGGUCUCUGGGCCACGACCGACGCUGAGAAGCGAAAGCAUGGGGAGCGAACAGG